CCGGCUCCUAGAAACCCUUAAUAGUAGAAAACCAUAGGGGGAAACACCAGUAAUUAGACAGAACAGAAUACAAUUGCUUUUUUAAAAGUUAUUUUGAUCCCUGGUGGUCAAAUGAAAAACAUGAUCAUGGGAGGCCAUGGAAGGUGAGCCGUCGAUAUUCCGAAGGGAAGCCGGGAUCCGUCCAAGGGCGUUCGAGAUAAAAGUACCAUGGCUACUGUGACGUAUCCUGACUAAUGCCGACAGCACAGGGAGCCUUUGCCUGCCGGAGGAAGCGGUGAGGAAGAGGUGGUGCGUCGUGCACUUCCUGUUGCUGUUUUAGGACAGCUUGGCUCUGAGAUUUUUAGGAAGCGAAGGGGCAGAAGAAGCGACUCACAAGCUCCUGGAGCCGUGUUGGGAGGGGCCCUCGGGGCCCCUGGAGUGGAGAGACACACCCAGAGGCUUUCCAGCCACCCAGGGAGGAGGCGCGGUGGCUGGGAUUUGGAGACAGCUGUGGAGGUGGGUGCAGGAGGCCGGGUUCUCUGUAUUUCCAGACUAGAGGCAGCGGCAGCUAUUGGUGUGGGGUGGGAGGGGAGAGCAGCUGGGACAUAGAAACAUUCCGAACCUAUGAUAAGCUCCCUG
rnacentral:lncRNA from 1 species